rnacentral:rRNA from 1 species
AUUGAACGCUGGCGGCAUGCCUUACACAUGCAAGUCGAACGGCAGCACGGGGGCAACCCUGGUGGCGAGUGGCGAACGGGUGAGUAAUAUAUCGGAACGUGCCCUAGAGUGGGGGAUAACUAGUCGAAAGACUAGCUAAUACCGCAUACGAUCUAAGGAUGAAAGUGGGGAUCGCAAGACCUCAUGCUCCUGGAGCGGCCGAUAUCUGAUUAGCAGUUGGUGGGGUAAAGCCUACCAAGGCGACGAUCAGUAGCUGGUCUGAGAGGACGACCAGCCACACUGGGACUGAGACACGGCCCAGACUCCUACGGGAGGCAGCAGGUGGGAAUUUUGGACAAGUGGGGCAACCCUGAUCCAGCAAUGCCGCGUGUGUGAAGAAGG